AGAGUUUGAUCCUGGCUCAGGACGAACGCUGGCGGCAUGCCUAACACAUGCAAGUCUAGGGUUGCCUUCGGGUAACACUGGCGGACGGGUGAGUAACACGUAGGUAAUCUGCCUCUAUCUCAGUGAUAACUCUCGGAAACGGGAGCUAAACACUGGCACGGAACUUCGGUUUCAAAGGGUGACCGGAUAGAGAUGAGCCUGCGGCUGAUUAGCUAGUUGGAGAGGUAAUGGCUCCCCAAGGCGACGAUCAGUAGCUGGUCUGAGAGGACGAACAGCCACACUGGAACUGAGACACGGUCCAGACUCCUACGGGAGGCAGCAGUGAGGAAUAUUGCACAAUGGGGGAAACCCUGAUGCAGCGAUGCCGUGUGCGGGAUGAAGGGGCUUUGCCUCGUAAACCGCUGUCGGAUGGGACGAAAGGGUUCUUAGAGGACCUGGGACUGUACCAUAAGAGGAAGGGACGGCUAACUACGUGCCAGCAGCCGCGGUAAUACGUAGGUCCCGAGCGUUGUCCGGAAUUACUGGGUAUAAAGGGUGCGCAGGCGGUCUUGUGCGUCAGAAGUGAAAUAUCACGGCUCAACCGUGAGGGUGCUUUUGAUACGGCAAGACUUGAGUACGGGAGAGGAUGAUGGAAUUCCUGGUGUAGCAGUGAAAUGCGUAGAUAUCAGGAGGAACACCGGUGGCGAAGGCGGUCAUCUGGCCCGGUACUGACGCUCAGGCACGAAAGUGUGGGUAGCGAACAGGAUUAGAUACCCUGGUAGUCC
rnacentral:rRNA from 1 species